UACGUAGGUGACGAGCGUUAUCCGGAUUUACUGGGCGUAAAGCGCUUGUAGGUGGCUUUGUAAGUUGGGCGUGAAAACUCUGGGCUUAACCCAGAGACGCCGUCCAAUACUGCGAGGCUCGAGGAUGUCAGAGGAAGGUGGAAUUCCUGGUGUAGUGGUGAAAUGCGUAGAUAUCAGGAGGAACACCCGUGGCGAAGGCGGCCUUCUGGGGCAUUCCUGACGCUGAGAAGCGAAAGCUAGGGGAGCAAACAGG
rnacentral:rRNA from 1 species